AAACCCAUCAAGCCUGGCUUGGUAUUGGGCGACGGGACCUCCCCGCGCCCCGAUUUCGCCGGCUGGACGAACCCCGAUCUCAAGCGCUGUAAUGAGCAUUCGCUGGAGGGACGGGCGGCCACGCCGUUAACCUUAAUCAAUUCA
rnacentral:misc_RNA from 1 species